rnacentral:rRNA from 4 species
UAGCUUGCUAUCAGGCGUCGAGCGGCGGACGGGUGAGUAAUACUUAGGAAUCUACCUAGUAGUGGGGGAUAGCUCGGGGAAACUCGAAUUAAUACCGCAUACGUCCUACGGGAGAAAGGGGGCAACUUGUUGCUCUCGCUAUUAGAUGAGCCUAAGUCGGAUUAGCUAGAUGGUGGGGUAAAGGCCUACCAUGGCGACGAUCUGUAGCUGGUCUGAGAGGAUGAUCAGCCACACCGGGACUGAGACACGGCCCGGACUCCUACGGGAGGCAGCAGUGGGGAAUAUUGGACAAUGGGGGAAACCCUGAUCCAGCCAUGCCGCGUGUGUGAAGAAGGCCUUUUGGUUGUAAAGCACUUUAAGCAGUGAAGAAGACCUAACGGUUAAUACCCGUUAGCGAUGACAUUAGCUGCAGAAUAAGCACCGGCUAACUCUGUGCCAGCAGCCGCGGUAAUACAGAGGGUGCAAGCGUUAAUCGGAAUUACUGGGCGUAAAGCGAGCGUAGGUGGCUUGAUAAGUCAGAUGUGAAAUCCCCGGGCUUAACCUGGGAACUGCAUCUGAAACUGUUAGGCUAGAGUAGGUGAGAGGGAAGUAGAAUUUCAGGUGUAGCGGUGAAAUGCGUAGAGAUCUGAAGGAAUACCGAUGGCGAAGGCAGCUUCCUGGCAUCAUACUGACACUGAGGCUCGAAAGCGUGGGUAGCAAACAGGAUUAGAUACCCUGGUAGUCCACGCCGUAAACGAUGUCUACUAGUCGUUGGGUCCCUUGAGGACUUAGUGACGCAGCUAACGCAAUAAGUAGACCGCCUGGGGAGUACGGCCGCA